rnacentral:rRNA from 1 species
UUGUCCCUACGGGGCGCAGCAGUGGGGAAUAUUGGGCAAUGGGCGCAAGCCUGACCCAGCAACGCCGCGUGAAGGAAGAAGGCUUUCGGGUUGUAAACUUCUUUUCUCAGGGACGAAGAAAGUGACGGUACCUGAGGAAUAAGCCACGGCUAACUACGUGCCAGCAGCCGCGGUAAUACGUAGGGGGCAAGCGUUAUCCGGAUUUAUUGGGUGUAAAGGGCGUGUAGGCGGGAGCGCAAGUCAGAUGUGAAAACUCAGGGGUAAACCCUGAGCCUGCAUUUGAAAUGGGGUUUCUUGAGUGCUGG